rnacentral:rRNA from 1 species
CCUACGGGGUGCAGCAGUCGAGAAUCAUUCACAAUGGGGGAAACCCUGAUGGUGCGACGCCGCGUGGGGGAAUGAAGGUCUUCGGAUUGUAAACCCCUGUCAUGUGGGAGCAAAUUAAAAAGAUAGUACCACAAGAGGAAGAGACGGCUAACUCUGUGCAAGCAGCCGCGGUAAUACAGAGGUCUCAAGCGUUGUUCGGAAUCACUGGGCGUAAGGCGUGCGUAGGCUGUUUCGUAAGUCGUGUGUGAAAGGCGCGGGCUCAACCCGCGGACGGCACAUGAUACUGCGAGACUAGAGUAAUGGAGGGGGAACCGGAAUUCUCGGUGUAGCAGUGAAAUGCGUAGAUAUCGAGAGGAACACUCGUGGCGAAGGCGGGUUCCUGGACAUUAACUGACGCUGAGGCACGAAGGCCAGGGGAGCGAAAGGGAUUAGAUACCCGAGUAGUC